CAAUUCAAAACGACAGACAGACAACAAAAAUAAAUUCAAAAAGUUAAUUUCGCCCAACGUGGGGCUCGAACCCACGACCCUGAGAUUAAGAGUCUCAUGCUCUACCGACUGAGCUAGCCGGGCAUUUGGACAGACGUUGGCAAAGUAUAUUUCUGACCUGCAUUGUGACCAUAGCUUUUUCCCAUUGAUUUCGUAUUGACUCGUUUCUUAAGAACUUACGUUACUUUCAUUUCAGACGUUUGUGUGAUAAUAUUAUUACAAAAAUAUUCAAUUUCCAAAGCUUGUUUAGUGAAAAGCUCAUAUUAUAGAGCUUAUAAAUCUUGGCAACCAUUGGACUCAGAGCUGAUAUGCGGUCCUGUGGCGCAAUGGAUAACGCGUCUGACUACGGAUCAGAAGAUUCCAGGUUCGACUCCUGGCAGGAUCGAAUUUUUUUUAUUUCUUGAAAUUACUUGUCACAUUUUUUGUACUUCUUCAGAGAAUGGAACUUGCUUAGGUCUCGAUUUCGCACUUACACCUUACACCCCCCGUACGUGUCAUUCAAACGUGUUUGAGUGAGUCUCUGAGUUUUGCGCAUUAAGAAAGCAGCCAAGAUGUGGGGUAGGGCCACGGAUAUGAUGGGGAUUUGGGAUUCAAUGACAAAGUGCAGCUGCGGUGGCUCAGCGCAAAUCAAAUGGUAUAGUGUUGAGAGCGUGUGGAUUAUUUGGCGCUUUAUGUUAAACAGCUGAAACUUUCCACUCAGCAACCAGAGGGGUUAGAUGCGGCUUAUAGGACGCCAAGGACUUUUAAGGUGAGAUUUAAGCGAUACCUUUCGAGGGGGACAGUGCUGUUCUUCUGCGUGUGACUGCUGAAAAUUAUUUUGAACAAAUGAACAUCAAUACACAUGCAAAAAUAAAG
rnacentral:tRNA from 1 species